rnacentral:lncRNA from 1 species
CUAUACAUACACUGCAGCUCAAACAAAUCUACCGCGACCUACAGCAGUAAUAAGAUUCGCCAGAGACGAUCUCUGUAUUGCAUACGGCGUUGUUUACAAGACUCUGAGAACAUUUACCUGCAUUUUACAGCAACGGGAACAGCGCGGCAAAGUGCACAUGCGCUUUAUCGACACCGAUCUACGUCAAUGAGGGCGGCGUCCACAAGUGUGUCCGAGCCAAGAACCUCAACGAAGCGUGCGUCAGCAACCAGGAGUGCAGCUACGGCAACCCGAACGUGCAGUGCGUCAACUCCCUUUGCAACUGCUCGCACCCGUUCGAGUUGACAGCAGCGAGGCUUUGCCUGUUGCCUACAAAUCAAGGAGGCGACAUGGUUACCAUCGCCCUUAGCGUGAUGCUGGCCCUGGCUUUGCUGCUCUUGGCUGCUGGCUAUGUCUAUCAAAAGAUGGUGCGCGAGCGUGACGGUUCAAGCAGCAGCAGUCACCGCUCGAGGCGCAAACGUAAACGCAGUUCAGACGUCACGACCACGUCUUCGACGAUUUACAUCCUGACUAAGGACAGGUCCUUGCCAGACGUCGACAACGAGCCGGAGUACUCAGCGGGGGACAAUGACUGCAGCGAGGCGCAGGAGGAGAGUCGCGGCGACAGCGACGCGUCCCCCAUGGUGGUUCGUACAUGCGGGACCCUUCGAUGCCGCCUCGCCACCCGCCUCGUUUCAUCAGGCAGCAGGCUGCCAAGG